rnacentral:lncRNA from 1 species
CUUUUUGUUAACUUGCCGUCAGCCUUUUCUUUGACCUCUUCUUUCUGUUCAUGUGUAUUUGCUGUCUCUUAGCCCAGACUUCCCGUGUCCUUUCCACCGGUCCUUUGAGAGGUCACAGGGUCUUGAUGCUGUGGUCUUGAUCUGCAGGUGUCUGACUUCCAGCAACUGCUGGCCUGUGCCAGGGUGCAAGCUGAGCACUGGAGUGGAGUUUUCCUGUGGAGAGGAGCCAUGCCUAGAGUGGGAUGGGCCAUUGUUCAUCUUCUGGCCCCUGUUGUCUGCAUGUAACUUAAUACCACAACCAGGCAUAGGGGAAAGAUUGGAGGAAAGAUGAGUGAGAGCAUCAACUUCUCUGACAACCUAGGCCAGUGUGUGGUGAUGCCAGGCAUGCCCUUCCCUAGCAUCAGGUCUCCAGAGCUGCAGAAGACGACGGCCGACUUGGAUCACACUCUUGUGAGUGUCCCCAGUGUUGCAGAGGGCCAUCAGGCACCAAAGGGAUUCUGCCAGCAUAGUGCUCCUGGACCAGUGAUACACCCGGCACCCUGUCCUGGACAAGCUGUUGGCCUGGAUCUGAGCCCUCGUGGAGGUCAAAGCCACCUUUGGUUCUGCCAUUGCUGCUGUGUGGAAGUUCACUCCUGCCUUUUCCUUUCCCUAGAGCCUCCACCACCCCGAGAUCACAUUUCUCACUGCCUUUUGUCUGCCCAGUUUCACUAGAAGUAGGCCUCAUCCUGACAGGCAGCUGCACCACUGCCUGGCGCUGUGCCCUUCCUUUGCUCUGCCCGCUGGAGACGGUGUUUGUCAUGGGCCUGGUCUGCAGGGAUCCUGCUACAAAGGUGAAACCCAGGAGAGUGUGGAGUCCAGAGUGUUGCCAGGACCCAGGCACAGGCAUUAGUGCCCGUUGGAGAAAACGGGAAUCCCAAAGAAAUGGUGGGUCCUGGCCAUCCGUGAGAUCUUCCCAGGGCAGCUCCCCUCUGUGGAACCCAAUCUGUCUUCCAUCCUGUGUGGCCGAGGGCCAGGCUUCUCACUAGGCCUCUGCAGGAGGCUGCCAUUUGUCCUGCCCACCUUCUUAGAAGCGAGACGGAGCAGACCCAUCUGCUACUGCCCUUUCUAUAAUAACUAAAGUUAGCUGCCCUGGACUAUUCACCCCCUAGUCUCAAUUUAAAAAGAUCCCCAUGGCCACAGGGCCCCUGCCUGGGGGCUUGUCACCUCCCCCACCUUCUUCCUGAGUCACUCCUGCAGCCUUGCUCCCUAACCUGCCCCACAGCCUUGCCUGGAUGUCUAUCUCCCUGGCUUGGUGCCAGUUCCUCCAAGUCGAUGGCACCUCCCUCCCUCUCAACCACUUGAGCAAACUCCAAGACAUCUUCUACCCCAACACCAGCAAUUGUGCCAAGGGCCAUUAGGCUCUCAGCAUGACUAUUUUUAGAGACCCCGUGUCUGUCACUGAAACCUUUUUUGUGGGAGACUAUUCCUCCCAUCUGCAACAGCUGCCCCUGCUAACUGCCCUUCUCUCCUCCCUCUCAUCCCAGAGAAACAGGUCAGCUGGGAGCUUCUGCCCCCACUGCCUAGGGACCAACAGGGGCAGGAGGCAGUCACUGACCCCGAGACGUUUGCAUCCUGCACAGCUAGAGGUCCUUUAUUAAAAGCACACUGUUGGUUUCUGCUCA